rnacentral:rRNA from 1 species
AGCGGCGGACGGGUGAGUAAUGCCUGGGAAUAUGCCCUGAUGUGGGGGAUAACUAUUGGAAACGAUAGCUAAUACCGCAUAAUCUCUUCGGAGCAAAGAGGGGGACCUUCGGGCCUCUCGCGUCAGGAUUAGCCCAGGUGGGAUUAGCUUGUUGGUGAGGUAAUGGCUCACCAAGGCAACGAUCCCUAGCUGGUCUGAGAGGAUGAUCAGCCACACUGGAACUGAGACACGGUCCAGACUCCUACGGGAGGCAGCAGUGGGGAAUAUUGCACAAUGGGGGAAACCCUGAUGCAGCCAUGCCGCGUGUGUGAAGAAGGCCUUCGGGUUGUAAAGCACUUUCAGUAGGGAGGAAGGUAGUGUAGUUAACACCUGCACUAUUUGACGUUACCUACAGAAGAAGCACCGGCUAACUCCGUGCCAGCAGCCGCGGUAAUACGGAGGGUGCGAGCGUUAAUCGGAAUUACUGGGCGUAAAGCGCAUGCAGGCGGCCUGUUAAGUCAGAUGUGAAAGCCCGGGGCUUAACCUCGGAAUUGCAUUUGAAACUGGCAGG